AGAAGCUGAAGAUGCUGCUAGGGGGCUUUAAAAUCACCAAGGUGGACUUCGGGUUGUGAGUACAUGAAGUUGCUAAUAUGGCUGAAUGGGAAGAUGAACAAAUUGAGUAUAUCAAAGAGAAAGUAACUGAGGAGGGUAAGGAAGCCGAUCUAAAGAAAGGAAGCAACUUGCUCAGGUUGAAUUGGAUGAAGCUACUUUCUUGUUGGAUCUAGAAAGCAUCGACAGUUCAUGGGACGAUUGCGCACAAAGGAUUGUUGAAUGCUAUAAGGAGGCGGGACUGCAUGAAGUUGCAAACUGUGUGGUUUACAGAGACUGAAAUAUCAACAACCUUGCAGAAUAUCAACGUCUUACACUACCCCUACGAGUUCUAAUUAGUGGCUUAUAAAGUUUUGCCUCUGGCAAAGUGUACUCUAAUUGUUUUCAGAAAAACAAGAAAAGACUUCACAAUAGUCCUUUAAAUAUGCACCCCCAUUUUGAUCUCCUCUCACACCGAGGUGAAUUGUAAAAGAACAAAAGUAAUAAUAUGUAACAAGUAACUUGCAUUGAAG
rnacentral:misc_RNA from 1 species